GGAGAGGCCAACAGAUGAGGGAGCCAUUUUUCUGCAAUGGAAUUAAAUGGCCAAGUGGGACUCACACUUGGAAGAAUGAAGACCUUUUAAAAAGAUCUGGAUUUUUCCUUAUGACUUGGAAUCCAUCUUUGUCUUGUAUAACUAGGUCAUAGCACACUAUUAAUGUCAGCAGUUAACAGUUUUGAAUUCAAAAAAACCUAAAGCACUAAACAGCCCUCAGCGAAGCCGCCUUUUUGCCAGCCCAACCCUGGAAAGUUUGCAGUCGUGGAAGGAGCAGAAAUACCACGAGUGUAACUUACAAAGAAGGUCUUGGCCGGAGACCGGAGCCAUGUCUGUGUUAUUCCCACUGUAGACAAUCCUUGCUUCCUCUGGACAUCUGGAGCAGGCCCAAUUUGACUGAGAGCCUUCCCCCACUAAGGAAUUCCUGGACAAUGGAGAGUGCCCCAGGCCCCCUGAACAUCUUGCUGAUGAGGGAGUAAAGCCACCCUGGGUGGGUGUGAGUGCACGCGCGCGCGCGCGUGUGUAUCUCCUCAGCUGGCCCGGCCCGACCUCUGAGGAGGCUCUCACCAGCAGCUGGCUAGAUUCCUGGUUAUUUUUAGUUACAGAUCCAGCCCCACCAUCACCACCAGAGUUGAGUCCAAAUCCAACACUCUAGGCCGGGUAGUGCUGGGACUUUGCCAGCCUCCUGCUGAGGUAGGGCUGGGUGAGUAGGCAGGCUGGAACGGGUGGGGUGGCCGUGUGCUGUCUGAACCCUCCCCAGAGCUGGUCGCUUUUGGUCAUUUCCUCCCUGCAGACUUGCUCUUCCUCCACACAGGUCUGGGGGAGUUUGUGGGAAGCCAGGAGCCCUCUCUUGG
ensembl:lincRNA AI480526 expressed sequence AI480526